rnacentral:sRNA from 1 species
GUGAGGAGAAAGGCAGAUGCGGAGUAUUUCUUUUUAUACCUUUCGAUGACCUGCCCUCGCACCGCAGGUGAGGGGGGCGCCGCAUUAU